rnacentral:lncRNA from 1 species
CUGUGUAUGGAGCAAUUGUCAUCUUGCCUAAACAAGGGACUGGUUUUCCAUUUCCUCAGCCAUACAAGGAGGCUAAUAUUGUCUUAGGUGAGUUAGUGCAACUAUGAGAUUUGUAACUAUAUACAGAAUUUUUUUAGAGUUUAUGCAGAAAAUGAUUGUAUUGUUUCUUGUGAAAGGUGUAGGAGAAUGGUGGAAUAACGACGUCGAUGAGGUUGUUAAACAAGGAAACAAACUGGGAUUGCCACCAAAUAUGUCAGAUGCACACACCAUCAAUGGGAAGCCAGGGCCUCUCUUUCCAUGUUCUGAAAAACGUAAGCCACUGCCUUCUGUAGAAAAGUUCUUGCCUACAAUGAGUUUAUACAAUGCACAUGGUGGACGUGCAACUAGUAAUUGUGAGAGCUACGUUGUAUAUACUCAUUGUAUGCGAGAACUUUUCCAUCUAUGACACUAGAUGUUCUGAGACUACUUUUGUUUUAUGGCACUGCCAUUUGGACAUGAAAAAUGAGACUUUGCAUUCUCAUCCCUUUUUGUUUUUGCUAUCUCAGAUACCUAUGCAUUGGAGGUUGAACAGGGAAAGACGUAUCUGCUACGAAUCAUCAAUGCUGCACUCAAUGAUGAGCUAUUCUUUGCCAUUGCUGGUCACAAUUUGACAGUGGUAGAAAUUGAUGCAGUCUACACCAAACCAUUCACAUCUCAAGCAAUACUAAUAGCACCAGGCCAGACCACGAAUGUUCUCGUUCAAGCCAACCAAGUGCCCGGAAGAUAUUUCAUGGCUGCUAGGCCAUUCAUGGACGCACCGGUUUCCAUUGACAACAAAACUGCCACUGGAAUACUGCAGUACAAAGGCAUCCCAAAUACUGUGCAGCCAGUUCUUCCCCAACUUCCGGCACUCAAUAACACAGCUUUUGCAUUGAGCUUCAAUGCCAAGCUAAGAAGUCUAAACACAGCACAGUUCCAGGCCAGUGUACCUCUUAAAGUUGAUCGACAUCUCUUUUACACGAUCGGGUUGGGAAUCAACCAAUGCACCACUUGCCUGAAUGGAACACAGCUCACUGCUUCUUUAAACAAUAUCACAUUUGUGAUGCCCCAAAUUGGGCUGCUUCAAGAUCAUUAUUUCAACACCAAGGGAGUAUUUACCACAGAUUUCCCAGACCGCCCUCCAACACCUUUCAAUUACACUGGUGCACCAAUCACUGCCAACCUUGGCAGUUGGCACUAAACAAGGCACCCGGCUUAGCAAACUUGCCUUCAAUUCAACAGUUGAGUUGGUGGUACAAGACACCAAUCUUCUCACAGUGGAGUCCCAUCCUUUCGACCUUCAUGGUUACAAUUUCUUUGUUGUUGGGACCGGAGUUGGGAACUUUGACCCCAAAAAGGACCCGGCAAAGUAUAAUUUGAUGGAUCCUCCCGAAAGAAACACAAUUGGAGUUCCUGCCGGUGGUUG